rnacentral:rRNA from 1 species
GAUGAACGCUGGCGGCGUGCCUAAUACAUGCAAGUCGAGCGAACAGACGAGGAGCUUGCUCCUCUGACGUUAGCGGCGGACGGGUGAGUAACACGUGGAUAACCUACCUAUAAGACUGGGUUAACUUCGGGAAACCGGAGCUAAUACCGGAUAAUAUAUUGAACCGCAUGGUUCAAUAGUGAAAGACGGUUUUGCUGUCACUUAUAGAUGGAUCCGCGCCGCAUUAGCUAGUUGGUAAGGUAACGGCUUACCAAGGCAACGAUGCGUAGCCGACCUGAGAGGGUGAUCGGCCACACCGGAACUGAGACACGGUCCAGACUCCUACGGGAGGCAGCAGUAGGGAAUCUUCCGCAAUGGGCGAAAGCCUGACGGAGCAACGCCGCGUGAGUGAUGAAGGUCUUCGGAUCGUAAAACUCUGUUAUUAGGGAAGAACAAAUGUGUAAGUAACUAUGCACGUCUUGACGGUACCUAAUCAGAAAGCCACGGCUAACUACGUG